GUCAGACCCAUCACGGGUUCACGGUACCACGAUUCAGUAACACACGCGGCUUCCUUCUCUUCAUCAUCUUCGUGCUUGUAGUUCCUUCUUCAUCUCUGAUUCAGAUUGGAAGUCGACGUUCUGGGUUGCCGCCGUUGCGUCUCCUCCCUCUCUCGGCCAUUUCCUGGCUUCUCUGAAACUGAAGUGUGAAAUCUGAAAGUGAAGUUUGCUUGCUCUCUAGAUUUUCUGCCUCUAACAAUGGAUGAGUACCAAGAGAUGGAGAGAUUUGGCAUGGAUAAUGAUUUUGAAGGUGGUGAAUGGAUUGGUGGUGAGUUCUACUAUCGAAAGCGCAAAGAAAAACGCACUCAAACAAGAGAAGAUGUUCUUUAUGGGGUGUUUGCAGACUCUGAUGAUGAUGAAGAUGAUUAUAACAGAAAACGCAGGAAAGACCGUGACUUAUCUAAGCAGCCUGACCUCAGCAAGCCUGUGAAUUUUGUCUCUACUGGAACUUUUAUGCCUAAUCAAGAUGAUAACCGUUCUAAAGAACAGAUGGAAGAAGAAAAUUAUGCGAGUGAGGAUAGGCCAGCUUUAGGUCUUGGUAUGGGAACUACUAGCACUUCUAGUUUUGGGUUAGGUUUUAAUACAAAUCAUCGUGGAAAUGCUUCUGAUGAUGAUAAUCACGACAACGAUUUUCUGCCUACGGCAUUUGGAAAGAGGAUUAAGGAGGGAGCAAUGAGAAGGGAGAGGGAAAAGGAAAGGGCAAAAUUGGAAAAGAAGAGAGCGCAAGGAAAAACCCAAGCUGAAGAUGGAUUUCCAGAUGUUGGGAAGUUUGAGAAGCAUACAAAGGGGAUUGGAAUGAAGUUGUUGGAGAAAAUGGGCUAUAAAGGAGGUGGUCUUGGGAAGAAUGAACAGGGUAUUUUAGCUCCUGUUGAGGCUCAUUUGAGGGCCAAGAAUACAGGUAUUGGAUUUAAUGACUCGAAGGCAACCACUCCUUUGCCUAGUGUGCAAGUUGAGAAGACAACAUUGCCAGGGGUUGCUCAACCUACAGCUGUUAGAGCAAAGGAAAGGUUAUGGUCAAAGCAUUCAAGGUCAAAGAAGAAGAAAGAUGAGGAUGAUUAUAUUACUGCUGAGGAAUUGUUAGCAAGCAAUCAAGAACAGGGUCUGGAGGUUGUGCAGAAGGUUUUUGAUAUGAGAGGGCCACAGGUUCGAGUAAUUACGAAUUUGUCUGAUUUGAAUGCUGAGGAGAAGGCCAAGGAAAAUGAUGUUCCAAUGCCAGAGCUUCAGCAUAACGUGGGCUUAAUUGUUAGGUUGGCUGAAGCAGACAUCCAGGAGAUUGAUAGAAAUUUGAGGAGAGAGAGGGAGACAGCACUUAGCUUGAAAAAAGAAAAAGAGAAGUUAGAAACUGAGGUAGCUCACCAAAAAAAGCAGUUGGAAGAUCUAGAAGAAAUAACAACUGUGCUAGACCGAGUUGGAGAAGAGAACUUAAUGGGGACAUUGACUUUGGAUUUGCUUGCACAGUGCUUUGCUGACCUGCAGAAAAGAUAUGCUGAUAGCUAUAAGUUGUGUAACUUGUCAUGUAUUGCUUCUUCAUAUGCUUUGCCUUUGUUUAUUAGAGUAUUCCAAGGAUGGGAUCCUCUUCGAAAUCCAUUACAUGGGUUAGAGUUGGUAUCACGGUGGAAAACAUUGCUUCAAGAAGAAGAUUGCCUUGAUAUCUGGGAUGUAACAUCACCUUAUACUCAAUUGAUUUCUGAAGUUGUUUUACCAGCUGUCAGGAUUUCUGGUAUCAAUACCUGGCAGGCACGGGAUCCUGAGCCAAUGUUACGGUUUUUGGAGUCCUGGGAAAAGUUGCUUCCUUCAUCAGUUCUCACAGCCAUGUUGGACAAUAUUGUCAUGCCAAAAUUGUCAAGUGCUGUAGAUACAUGGGAGCCACAUCGUGAGACAAUUCCUAUCCAUACUUGGGUGCACCCAUGGUUACCAUUGUUAGGACACAAGUUAGAGGGAAUGUAUCAGAUGAUACGCUUCAAAUUGAGUACUGUUCUUGGUGCCUGGCACCCAAGUGAUGGAUCUGCGUAUGCUAUAUUGUCACCUUGGAAGACUGUAUUUGAUUCAGUGAGUUGGGAACAACUUAUGCUUCGAUUUAUUGUGCCAAAGUUGCAGCUUGUCUUGCAAGAGUUCCAAGUGAACCCAGCAGAUCAGAAACUUGAUCAGUUUUAUUGGGUGAUGAAUUGGGCUUCUGCUGUUCCAAUUCAUCUGAUGGUUGAUAUGAUGGAGAAGUUCUUCUUCACCAAGUGGCUUCAGGUUUUGUACCAUUGGUUGUGCUCAAAUCCUAACUUUGAAGAAGUUACAAAAUGGUAUUUGGGCUGGAAAGAACUUAUUCCAAAGGAACUUUUGGCAAAUGAAAGUAUUCGAUAUCAACUAAACCGUGGUCUUGAUAUGAUGAACCAGGCUGUUGAAGGCAUGGAGGUGGUCCAACCUGGCUUGAAAGAAAACAUCAGCUAUCUUAGGGUACUUGAGCAAAGGCAAUUUGAGGCUCAGCAGAAAGCAGCAGCUCAUGCUCAAACUCAAGCUCCCUCAGGCUUGGGGGCUGCUGCCCAUAUGGAUGGUGCAGCUGGUGUACAUGAGAUGAGCUUAAAAGAAGUCAUUGAGGCCCAUGCCCAACAACAUGGCUUGCUAUUCAAGCUUAAACCUGGUAGAAUGCACAAUGGUCAUCAAAUAUAUGGGUUUGGUAAUGUCAGCAUUAUAAUAGACUCUCUCAAUCAAAAGGUAUAUGCCCAAACUGAGGAUGCAUGGUCUUUGGAAUCUCUCCAAGGCUUACUGGAGCUGCAUAGUAAGUCCCUUGGUCGGAGACGCUGAUUCUGCAGUGACUUUCUUAUGCAGUUUGAGCAAGAGUUUCCAAUAUCUAAAUCGGUGGACAAAUAAUAAUCAGGGAAAUGUAAGAAGACCUUAACUGAGAACUUGAACUGCAGAUAAAGGGGGACUGAAAACCCUGUUGUAUCAGAACUUAUUGGCGUAUGCUUUAUUCUCUUACCACAUACAUUAAGGCUUUAAGCAAGGUUGAGCUCAGGCUCCAUGUCUGGAAACUGAGAUUUGAAAUUUGCAAAUGAAUCAUAUGCCUAUUCCUCUGCUAA